GAUGAACGCUGACCGAAUGCUUAACACAUGCAAGUCCACUUGAAUUUGGGUUUUUAACUUAGGUUUGGGUGGCGGACGGGUGAGUAACGCGUAAAGAACUUGCCUCACAGCUAGGGACAACAUUUGGAAACGAAUGCUAAUACCGAAUAUUAUGAUAAUAGGGCAUCCUAUAAUUAUGAAAGCUAUAAGCGCUGUGAGAGAGCUUUGCGUCCCAUUAGCUAGUUGGAGAGGUAACGGCUCACCAAGGCGAUGAUGGGUAGCCGGCCUGAGAGGGUGAUCGGCCACAAGGGGACUGAGACACGGCCCUUACUCCUACGGGAGGCAGCAGUGGGGAAUAUUGGACAAUGACCGAGAGUCUGAUCCAGCAAUUCUGUGUGCACGAUGAAGUUUUUCGGAAUGUAAAGUGCUUUCAGUUGGGAAGAAACAAAUGACGGUACCAACAGAAGAAGUGACGGCUAAAUACGUG
rnacentral:rRNA from 1 species